UCAACUGAUGAGCGAGAACAGCUGGAGAUUUGCUUGAAUUCGAUUGAAACAAGCUUUCUGCUGUGGCAUUCCUCCUAGAAUAAAACUGGAUCACUGUACCUCUAGAUUACCCAAUAAAUGAGAGAUAAUUAAAGUUGCGGUUUAUCGUACUGAAACAGCCAAUGUCUACAAUGGUGUUGUUAUUCCUGGACAAUUUUUUCGUCUUCACCUAGGAACAUUCUGCAAUUAAUUUUCAACAGACGAAUGAGAGCAAGAGGAGAUUUAUUUGCAUUCCACUGAAACAACAAGUUUUCUGUUUUCACACCAGCAAACUUUGGAACGUUACAGGCUACAGUUAAUUAAGAUCGACGGUGGAGAAGACAAAGAAGACCCCGUAGUUGAAAUAGUUCUUUAUCUUGCAUGUUCUAUCUAAUAGAAUUAAUUCUUUAAGUCGAUAUUAUUCAAAUUAAUUUUUUA